GAGUUUGAUCCUGGCUCAGAUCGAACGCUGGCGGCAUGCCUUACACAUGCAAGUCGAACGGUAACAGGUCUUUCGGGAUGCUGACGAGUGGCGAACGGGUGAGUGAUACAUCGGAACGUGCCUAGUAGUGGGGGAUAACUACUCGAAAGAGUGGCUAACACCGCAUGAGAUCUAUGGAUGAAAGCAGGGGACCUUCGGGCCUUGUGCUACUAGAGCGGCCGAUGGCAGAUUAGGUAGUUGGUGGGAUAAAAGCUUACCAAGCCUACGAUCUGUAGCUGGUCUGAGAGGACGAUCAGCCACACUGGGACUGAGACACGGCCCAGACUCCUACGGGAGGCAGCAGUGGGGAAUUUUGGACAAUGGGCGCAAAGCCUGAUCCAGCAAUGCCGCGUGCAGGAUGAAGGCC
rnacentral:rRNA from 1 species